rnacentral:rRNA from 1 species
UAAUACGUAGGUGGCGAGCGUUGUCCGGAAUUACUGGGUGUAAAGCGCGUGUAGGCGGGAGGCCAAGUCUGCGGUGAAAUCGCUCGGCUCAACUGGGCGGGGUCCGUGGAAACUGGUCACCUGGAGGACGGUAGAGGCGAGUGGAAUUCCCGGUGUAGUGGUGAAAUGCGUAGAGAUCGGGAGGAACACCAGUGGCGAAGGCGGCUCGCUGGGCCGGACCUGACGCUGAGACGCGAAGGCGUGGGGAGCGAACGGGAUUAGAUACCCCGGUAGUCCACGCAGUAAACGAUGCACACUAGGUGUGGGGGGUAUCGAGCCCCUCCGUGCCGUAGUUAACACAGUAAGUGUGCCACCUGGGGAGUACGGCCGCAAGGUUA